GUUAUUUCCGUUAUUUCCAUUAUUUAUUUCCGUUAUUUCUGUUAUUUAUUUUAGUUAUUCCCGUUAUUUAUUUCCGUUAUUUCCAUUAUUUACUUAUGUUAUUUCAGUUAUUUAUUUCCGUUAUUUCCGUUGUUCUUCUUGGUCUGUCAUCUAACUUCCUGCUGUAUGUUUCUGUCUCUCUGGAGGUUAUUUCCUUUAUUUCCAUUAUUUCCGUUAUUUCAGUUAUUUCCUUUAUUCUUCUUGGCCUGUCAUCUAAGUUUCUGCUGUAUGUUUCUGUCUUUCGGGAGUUUACUUCCGUUAUUAUUUCUGUUAUUUCCGUUAUUAAUUCCGUUAUUUCCGUAAUUAUUUCUGUUAUUUCCACUGUUCUUCUUGGCCUGUCAUCUAAGUUUCUGCAAUAUGUUUUUGUCUCCCUGGUUGUUAUUUACGUUAUUAUUUCUGUUAUUAUUUCCAUUAUUAUUUCCGGGUUUUUUUGUUGUUGUUAUUUUUGUUGUUGUUUCCGUUUUUUCUUUUUUUUUUUUUCGUUUUUUUCUGUUAUUUCCGUUACACUUCUUGGCCUGUCAUCAAAGUUUCUGCAGUAUGUUUCUGUUUCUUUGGUGUUUGGUUCCGUUAAUCUUGUGCGUUCCGUUGUUUAUUUCCAUUAGUUCUGUAAUUUAUUCCCGUUAUUAUUCCCGUUAUUCUUUCCGUUGUUCUUCUUGGCCUGUCAUCUAUUUUUCUGCAGUCUGUUUCUGUCUCUCUGGUGGUUAGUUCCGUUAGUUCCGUUAUUACCAUUCUUUCCAUUAUUUCCCUUGUUCUUCUUGUCCUGUCAUCUAAGUUUCUGCUUUAUGUUUCUUUCUCUCUGCAGUUUAUUUCCGUUGUUCUUCUUGGGCUGUCAUCUAACUUCCUGCUGUAUGUUUCUGUCUCUCUGGAGGUUAUUUCCGUUGUUUCCGUUGUUUCCGUUCUUUCCGUUAUUUCUGUUAUUUCCAUUGUUCUUCUUGGCCUGUCAUCUAACUUUCUGCUGUAUGUUUCUUUCUUUCUCUCUGCAGUUUAUUUCCGUUAUUUCCAUUAUUUCUGUUAUUUUUGUUGUUCUUCUUGGCCUGUCAUCUAAAUUUCUGCUGUAUGUUUCUGUCUCUAUGGAGGCUGUUUCCGUUAUUUCCGUUAUUUCUUUUAUUUCCAUUGUUCUUCUUGGCCUGUCAUCUAAGUUUCUGCAGUAUUUUUAUGUCUCUCUGCAGGUUGUUUCCGUUGUUUCCAUUGUGUCUGUUAUUUCCGUUGUUCUUCUUGGCCUGUCAUCUAACUUUGUGCUGUAUGUUUCUGUCUCUCUGGAGGUUGUUUCCGUUAUUUCUGUUGUUCUUCUUGGCCUGUUAUCUAAGUUUCUGCAGUAUGUUUCUGUCUGUUGGGAGUUUACUUCCCUUGUUAUUUCUGUUAUUUCCGUUACUAAUUCCGUUAUUUCCGUAAUUAUUUCUGUUAUUUCCAUUGUUCUUCUUGGCCUGUCAUCUAAGUUUCUGCAAUAUGUUUUUGUCUCUCUGGUUGUUAUUUACGUUAUUAUUUCCUUUAUUAUUUCCAUCAUUAUUUUUUUUUCUUGUUGUUGUUGUUGUUGUUUCCGUUUUUUCUUUUUUUUUCCCAUUUUUUUCUGUUAUUUCCGUUACACUUCUUGGCCUGUCAUCGAAGUUUCUGCAGUAUGUUUCUUUCUCUCUGGAGGUUAUUUUCGUUAUUUCCGUUAUUUCCUUUAUUUUCCUUGGUCUGUCAUCUAAGUUUCUGCAGAAUAUUUCUGUGUCUCUGGUGGUUAGUUCCGUUAGUUCCGUGAGUUUCGUUGUUUAUUUCCAUUAUUUCUGUAAUUUAUUUCCUUUAUUAUUUUCGUUAUUCUUUCCGUUAUUCUUCUUGCCUGUCAUCUAAGUUUCUGCAGUAUGUUUCUGUCUCUCUGGAGGUUAUUUCCGUUAUUUCCGUUAUUUCCGUUAUUUCCAUUUUUUCAGUUAUUUUCUUUACUUUUCUUGGACUGUCAUCUAAGUUUCUGCUGUAUGUUUCUUUCUCUCUGGAGGUUAUUUCCGUUAUUUCCAUUAUUUCCGUUAUUUCAGUUAUUUCCUUUAUUCUUCUUGGCCUGUCAUCUAAGUUUCUGCUGUAUAUUUCUGUCUCUCUGGAGGUUUUUUCCAUUAUUUUCGUUAUUUUGGUUAUUUCUGUAUUUUCGUUAUUUCCGUAAUUAUUUCCGUUAUUUCCGUUGUUCUUCUUGGCCUGUCAUCUAAGUUUCUGCUGUAAGUUUCUGUCUUGCUGGUUAUUAGUUCCUUUUGUUCCGUUAGAUCCGUUAUUUAUUUCCGUUAGUUCUGGAAUUUAUUUCCGUUAGUUCCGUUAUUUAUUUCCAUUACUUUCGUCUUUUAGUUCCCUUAUUUAGUUCCGU
rnacentral:lncRNA from 1 species